CUGUGACAUACCUAUAACGUUGCCUCGGCGGGAACAGACGGCCCCGUAACACGGGCCGCCCCCGCCAGAGGACCCCCUAACUCUGUUUCUAUAAUGUUUCUUCUGAGUAAACAAGCAAAUAAAUUAAAACUUUCAACAACGGAUCUCUUGGCUCUGGCAUCGAUGAAGAACGCAGCGAAAUGCGAUAAGUAAUGUGAAUUGCAGAAUUCAGUGAAUCAUCGAAUCUUUGAACGCACAUUGCGCCCGCCAGUAUUCUGGCGGGCAUGCCUGUUCGAGCGUCAUUACAACCCUCAGGCCCCCGGGCCUGGCGUUGGGGAUCGGCGGAAGCCCCCUGCGGGCACAACGCCGUCCCCCAAAUACAGUGGCGGUCCCGCCGCAGCUUCCAUUGCGUAGUAGCUAACACCUCGCAACUGGAGAGCGGCGCGGCCACGCCGUAAAACACCCAACUUCUGAAUGUUGACCUCGAAUCAGGUAGGAAUACCCGCUGAACUUAAGCAUAUCAU
rnacentral:rRNA from 1 species